rnacentral:lncRNA from 1 species
AUGUCAGGGUGCCAUCUGAAUAAGAAGCUAGGGAAGGUCACCACUGAGGAGGUGUAAGCUGCCGCAGGGAUAUGCCCCAGAUAAUAUUGGUGGCAGAUGAGGAUGACUGGUAAAGAAGCUCACCAGUGAAAAGAAGUAGAACUGGGGGAGCGGGUCAAGUGUGUGUCUGAAAGCUGAGAAGGGCCAGUGGAUAAAAAGAGAAACAAUCCAGACUACAGGAAAGAACACAGGGUCUCAACCGAAAUGAUGACCUCCAAGGCUGGCUCUGUUGAGGAAAAUGUCCACCUCAUCUUCUGAAACUGGAAAGUGGAGGGCAGGGGAGGUGACAAACCAGAGACAUAUCGGAGUGGAGGGGAGAUGACCAGAGAUCACUCCAGUGGGCCUGUCUUCUCGUGACCAUCCACCUAGUUGGGACAGGGGUAGAGAGCAUCUGAAGAGAAGGGAGGACAUUUGCAAGCAUCUUGGAUAGAACAGAAUGGAAGGGGAAAGGAGACAAGGGAAAGUUUUAGGCAGACGAUGAGAAUUGGAUAAAGAAUCAAAGCGAGCUGGGUAGGAGAAUAAAUGCAUUAAAAUCCCCGAAAAGUCAGCAGUGGAAAGUAUUCUCAAGCUCUCUCUUCCUUCCUACGCUGGCCUAAAACGAGGCCACAGUCCAGUCAGGCCUCCUAAUAUUCAGUAAGAUCAGCAGUGCGUAGGUUGCUCCUCGGGGCUCAAGUCCUAGACUCAAGGCUUAAUGAGUCACCUGCUCUAUAUUUUCCACUUGCAGGCCUUUGGCUUUCUGAGACCUCAGUCCACUCAGCUGCAAAAUUGACUUACAGGAUGAUGUCAAUCGCCAGAUGCUGCAGAGCAGAGCAGCGGGUCCAGCUUCUGCAGGGAUGGAGAGCUGGCCCAGUCACUGCAGAGGAAAACAAUACAGCCAGUCAUGUAAGGCGGCAGCUGACUCACCACGGAGGCUGCCCAUUACCCUGUGUGAGUCUAGAGAACCGCUGAUGGGCCCAAGGACUGGAAAAGCACCACUGACUUCUAAGCUUGAAAAGAAGCUUCCUUGGUGGAUGACUGUAAGCAGUAUCAUCCUGACUGCUCAAUCUGACUAAAAGAAAGAACAAAGAAAAGAAAUGGAAAAUAGUGGGGGAGGAGGAGGGAGAGAAGAAAAAAAGAAAGAAGAAAAACCCUCCAUAGACUAUGGCAUCAAAAACUCCAUUUACAAGCUCUGAGAAGAUCACAGGGUGUAGGGGUGAUUUUGUGAAGAACAAAUUCUUUCAGGCUAAUCACCACCCAGCCUCCUGGGAGUUCAAGAGGGAGCAAUAGCUUCUUGUCUUCUGGAAGGAGAGAGGAUUUUCAAAGCAUUCUGUCCCUCCGGAAGGGCAGUGUGAUAUAAAAACAGGAGGUGGUUGUGGCGUCUGUAUUACUAUUAUUAUUUGACAGAAUUGUCUUUGAGAGAUUGUUCUCCUGCCUAAGAGGGAAAUUAGACUGAGGGAGCAAAUUGUUUCUGCAAAUUUCUUCUUUAGAGAAAUUGGGCUCCAGGGGUGUGAAGAGACAUAGUGAGGGGGUCUGCAGUGGAUACCUCAGCAGGCAGACUCAUUGCAUCUUCAUCUUCACCGAGAACCAACUGGAUGUGUGACCUUGUGAGAAGUUGGGUGGAACUAAAUUUGCUGUAACUCUCUUCAGAAAGGAUCAGAAUGAAUAUUGUACUCCUCACAUCAAAGCUUUUCCCAAGAGCACCAAGCAAGGGCCACUUUCUUGCCCAUCUGGAGUCCCUGCCUUUUAAGUGAUCAGAACAGAUCCUGAAACACUCCCUUCUUCAAGAAUCGUAGUCAGAGCCAGGGCAAGAGGAGCGGUGACCCCCUUCAACCUUCCUUUGAAUAAAUGCGAGUCACUCAGAACACUCCCUUCAGCUCAUCGUGCCAGAAAUACAAUGGUUGGUGCCUUGUUCGCAAUCUGAAUCUUAAUUCCUCCCUACUGUAACACCUCUUUGAUCCCUUCCUUGUCAGGGGAUGAGGCACGCGGGAGGAGUGAAAGUGCCAUGUAAUUUGGGCUCACUCCUUAAAGCACUGAAUCAUAAAAAAUAAACAAGGAGCCUGGUCGUAUUGCAUGCUUUCCUGCUGAAAUAAACAGAGGACAUUUCAUACUUGAAAUUUUAUGAUUCAGGCCAUCGUCUUGAAUGAGCAUUAUAUUGUGCGCUUGUAAUUCACACACAGUGUGUAAUAAAAGGCUAAGUAGUGGUGAUUUCUGCCUGUCUGGCUGAUGCUUUUAAUGGAUCCUGAUUUUUGAGGCAUUACAUGUUAUUAACUACUUUUCUGUACGUGUGCUCAGGAUUAACCCUAUCAGGGUUAAUGAAGGAAGUGUUAAAAAGACAUGGCUCAAGGUAAGAAGCUCCAUUACAGAGAUUAGAAACCAUGUCAGAAAUUCAUUCCCAGCAUGGUUGUGAGCAAGGAGAUUUGAAUAAAUGCUCUUUUGUGUAAUGAGGGUGGUGGCCAUGGCAGGGAGAGACAUCAGUUAGGAUUCUUGGUGUGAGCAACAGAAACCAACUCUGGUAACUUGAGCCAGAAAGGGUAUUUCUGGGAAGAAUUCUAAGUGGGUCCCAGUGUUUAAGGAAGAGCUGAACCACCAGGUCCCAGAAAGAACUAAAUGAAGGCUGCUCCUGUGAACUCAACAACAGGACUCAUGGACCCCUCCCUAGAAUGCUGACAUACCAUCACUCCACUGCAAUCACCUCCAGUGCCUGCAUGUCUCCACUCAAGAGCGGAUUCCUGAGAAAGGUGAUGGUGAUAUAAUUGGCCCAUUUGAGGCCAUGAGUCUAUCCCUGCGCCAAGUAGAUGGAAUCCUGUAUGUGGCAGCCCCAUAAAAACCACAGAGAAUGAAGAAAGGGCAUCUCUCCCAAAGAAAGGAAUGUUGAGUGGACAAAAAUAACAGAUCUCCAUUAGAGACAGCCUCACUGACAUAAAUCUACACAUUUUCACAUUCCCUAAAGUCCAGACGCUCCUGGUUUCAUCUGAAUGUGUCUUCCUAUCCCAGGAGCUGGCCUAUAACCUGUUCUUCCUUCAGAGGUCGUCGUAGGCAGAAUGUACUUCCCCGCCUGCUCCACAAAAAGGUCCAUGCCCUAAUUCCCAGAACCUAUGAAUAGGGGCUUUUGCAGCUGUGAUUCAGCUCAUGGACUAUAAAAUACAGCAAUUAGCCUGGUUUAUCCAGUGGGCCCACAUGAGUCAGGGAGAUUCAGGACAAGGAAAAAUUGGAGAAAUCCUGAGCAUGAGAGGGACAAGAUGCCCUGCUGCUGGAGAAGGGCCACAUGGAAAACACAAGAAGGAAUUCAAACAGCGCUGAGGAGCAAGGAUCGGCCUCUGACAGGCCAGCAGGAAACCAGGGACCCCAUCGCACAACUGCAAGGAACUUGAUUUAACCAACAAUCUGAACGAGCCUAGAGCUGGGUUCAGACCUGGAGAUUCCAGAAAGGAACCCAGCCUUGCUCACGUCUUAAUUUUAGCCUCGAAGGGGAGAGCUCAAUGAGGCCACACACUCUACCUAAACUUCUCACCCACAGAGCUAUGAAAUGAAACUUUGUGUUGUUUUAAGCCACUAAAUUUGUGACGAUUGGUUACGGCAGCAAUAAAAAACCAAUACAGAGCCCAUGUAGAGGUCUCACCCACUAUAGCAUUAAUGCCAGCAUCUUAUGAUUUUCUUGGUGACUCUCUGGGGGGAUAAGCUCUCUGGGUUUAUCAACUUGACUGUAGUUCUUUUUCUGCAUCAUCAGCAAUAACAUCAAUAACAAAGUUAAAAAACUAUUUAUUAAGCACCUACCAUGUGGUAUAUUAUUUAUAGCAUUAUAAUUUUUAGUCCUCACCAAAAAAAAAAAAAAAAAAAGAUUUCACAGAUUAAAAAGUCUCCAUGUCACUGCAUUUUAGAACAUGAGGACAGUAAUAAUGCCUACUUCACUGGAAUUUUACAAGGAUUGACUAAGAUACAGAGAGGUUGCAUAACUCGUCAAAUUCACACAAAUAGUAAGAGAGAGAGCUGAGAUUAAAACCCUAUUCUGUCUGACACAAACCUGUGUUCCUACUAAGCCACACUGCCGCAACAAUAUGGCUAUGGAAGCACAUGAAAUAACAUGUCACUUAACUGGAAUCCAGUAUCACUUCAUGGCCUCAAGU